ensembl:lncRNA
AUGCAGAUGACUGGUAUGGAGGUUCCUUAAAAACUAAAAACAGAGCUAUCAUAUGAUCCUGCAAUCCCACCCCGGGCUUAUAUUUACAGAAAAAUAUAGUCCAGAGGAUAUAUGCAGCCCAGUGUUCAUUGCAGUGCCAUUUACAAUAGCCAGCACGUGAGAGGAACCUAAAUGUCCAUCGUCAGAGGAAUGGAUGAAGAUGUGGUACAGGUGUACAGUGGAAUACUAUUCAGCCACAAAAAAGAAUGAAAUAGUGCCAUUUGCAGCAACAUGGAUGGACCUGGAGAUUAUCACACUAAGUGAAGAAAACCUGAAGGAACUCUGUGGACAACCCAGUGCAUCAUAAUACUAACCUCACCGGGCUGUUGGGAUGGUUGACUAAGUGAACAUGUAAAUAACAUGCUUGGAACAGGAGGCGCUUCGUGGGUGCCCUGGGAGAGAGAGUAACUCCUAUCAUGAUCCCGGCUCACGGUCACAGACCUGUAGGAGGUGUGGACGCUUGCUGAGGGUGUGAAGUUGAAUUGGGACUGAGAGGUGGCUCUGGGGGAGGCUGGUAUGGAGCUCAGUGUCACCCUGUGUGGCUGACUGCACCCAGAGAGCCCUGAGCCUGAUCUGGAAUUAACUCUCUCCUUCUUUUUCAAAGAAUUGUUUUCAAAGCUGGUGAGGCUUGGAUACUCCUCAGGGAGCCAGGGAGAGCUUCAGUCCUCAGUCUUCAACCUGGUGAAAUCCCACCAACAAGGCUUUAUCAUCUACAAAGCCCUUUCUGGUACAGAUGGAAUCAGAAUACAUUUCACCCGAGUCCUGUUUCACGUGCCAGUACUAUCGAUGCCCUACCUUUACUGGCUUAGUGUAGCCAGAUCAAGCCUGAGACACCCCAAGGACCCGUGCUCCGUGAAUCACGCUUGGAAUUUCCUUACUUGUUGGUAUUUGCCCCCUGAAGGAGCCGAAGACACGGCCCUGGUGGGUGUGAGCAGUGCAAGUCCUCAGGCAGCAGCUCUCAGCCCUGGCAGGGGGUACAGAGACCACGCGGGAACUUGAAGGUAUUGCCUGGCC